ACCACGUUGCCACCGUGUCUACCCUUUAAAUGCAAUAUUGAUGCGAGCAAACUGGACGCUACUGGAAAAGUUAAUCCUAAAGCGGUUACAAAUGGCGUUUUGAAACCUGUUUGCGACAGGCUAUAUUUGUUUAGUUUAGAUACA